UCCGGCUCUACCAACUGUUGCUGCACCAGAGGGACCUGACCAUCCACGAGGCCGAAGAGCUGUGGCUCCGAGACUGGCAUGAGGACAGCAGGCUCCUCGGCUAUAAAAACACAGCCAGGGUCGGGGAGGUCUUUGGAAAGUUAUUCUCGG